rnacentral:sRNA from 1 species
GGUCGCUGCUCAGGGAAAUGCGGAGGCCAGUAGGCUUACGUGUUUACCGCGUAGGGCAAAGCCUUGCCAAAUUCCCGGCCAGCGGAGCGGCGAGGGUGGGGACUCACGGGAAGUUAAACAGCCUCGUCGGCGUCCUCGUCGGCGUCCUCGCGGCUCCAAAACCAGGCUCUAGGCGGGGACGACUGCAGCCGUUAUGGAGGCCACCGCGGCUACGGCCGCGGCUGAGGCCUCCCCAGGUGGAGCGGUGGCCUGGAGGGGAAUCUUGAUCCUGGGCCAGCCACCUGUCAAGAGGAGGCGGAGCGUCAUGCCCCUGGAAGACUGGAUGAAUAUUCUCCAGGAGCCUGACGAAGGCGAAGAAGUCUUUGCAGAGGAAAUUGAAUGCUGUCUGAUGCUACAAUUCAUAUGGAUCCUUUCCUGGAUUGAAGCCUGACUUUUAAAAACAGUUUCAAUAAAUUGCUUAUACCUAUGAAGAGAUGCAAAAGAACCUUCCAAAUAAAGCAAAGGACUUGAAGAAAGAGAAGGAAGACAUGAAGAAGAGGAUGUCAUUUAGGUGAAGGGCCAUGCUGGAUAAGGAGCUGGCUGCCUCUGUGAACAUCCUACUCAAGGCAUCUUCACUGCUGUACAUCCUUUUGAAAUCCCAGAGAUCUUCAGUCUCCCUGUGGAUUAAGGAGAUGUGCAGUAUUUAAAGUGGCUUCAGGAAGGCAUGGAAGAGGACUGAGUGGGGAAAGCUUUUUGUGCAUGCUGCUGGCUACCUCCAGCAGCUGCCUCCAGCCUCCAUCAGCUGCACUCUGGGGAAGAGGAGGCUGCCUUCUACCUCCCAGCAUCUCUGGAUUUCAUGUUCCUGUCAGCACAGAGGAGCUAAAUGGCCUGUAGAGGCUGAAGGUCUGAGGCUCCUAAAGCUGGAAGAAAAGGCUGGGCCAGUCAGGCCAAGCAAGAACACAGUGUAACUUGUCUCUGAGUGCUUCAUGUUUAAGGGCACUAAGCAGGCACAAGGGCAUGAGGAUGGUUAUAUGUACAGACUGAGGGGAAGAAGCAGUGAGGAUGAGACUUGCCAUGUUCUUGAGUCAGUAGGCCUGCCUCAGGUGCCUAGGAUGUAAUUGCUCUGCUGCUUCUCAUGGGGAGGAGUGGCCCUCAUGACCUUGUUUACCUGGAAGAGUGUGGGAUGAAUGCCUCCUCCUAUGGGGACUGGCAAGUGCUUUAGCAAAAGGAUAAAUUGCUAAUUGUGGCAUUUCGUGGAUCAGCAGGAUUAUUUCUCCUUGCUAAAGAGGAUUUUGUUGGUCCUGAAUUCUGAAGAGGUGGGACUAGGAAUGGGCUCCACGAGCCUGUGUAUGACUCAGGGAAUAUUAGGACUUUGGCACAGCCUCAUGGGUUGGGAGUAAGUCUUGGCUCUUCCCUAGCCUGAAUGACAGACAUCAGAUCAUUCUGGUGCUUUGUCCAGAUGUAGAUUCUGAGCCCACCCAACUAACCUUUUCACUUGAGCACAGAAACAGCCCCGGGAAUCGGACAGACCCCUGUCUUUCAGGUUUGCUUCACAGAGCCCCAGGGGUUGACAAUAGGUGCCUUGGAGACUGCCUGCAUGGGGAUUUUUAAAAAGCUUUCUUUGUUAAAGGUUUGUAAACCGCUCCUCUGAGCCUGUUUUCAUUUUAUAGAUUAUUCAGGGAACUGAACUGCACAGAGAUCCAGAAACUGGGUAGUGCAGGCUGUAGUGCUGAUAACUACUGUACUACUUGGAUCUUUGUGCUCCCAAAUACCAAAUGGAAGAGGAUCUCUGAGAGUCCUUUGCAAAGAUCUUGUAGGGACUUUAGGCUGGGGCCUUCGGAAAAUUCCAGAGGAUUCCAAUGGAGAUUUUGAGGGACUGACUCAGAAGAACAAAGAGAAUGAUAAUGGUGAUGUCCCUGCUUUUUACAACAGAUCAUGUUCUGAUAUAUAUGCAAAUCUGUGUAAAGUAAACCCUACCUAAAAUGUACUGGGGACCCAA